rnacentral:rRNA from 1 species
GACGAACGCUGGCGGCGUGCUUAACACAUGCAAGUGGAGCGACGAACCAGGGCUUGCCCUGGGGCAGAGCCGCGAACGGGUGAGUAACACGUGGGUAACGUGCCCCGAUGACUGGGACAACCCGGGGAAACCCGGGCUAAUACCGGAUGUGCCCCCUCACAUCAGUGAGGUGUGUAAAGGAAGCUUCGGCCUCCGCAUCGGGAUCGGCCCGCGGCCCAUUAGCUUGUUGGUGAGGUAACGGCUCACCAAGGCUGCGAUGGGUAGCUGGUCUGAGGGGACGAUCAGCCACACUGGGACUGAGACACGGCCCAGACUCCUACGGGAGGCAGCAGUGGGGAAUCUUGCGCAAUGCGCGAAAGCGUGACGCAGCAACGCCGCGUGGGGGAAGACGGCCUUCGGGUUGUAAACCCCUUUCAGUUGGGACGAAGGUCGGGCGGUUAACAGCCGUUCCGGCUGACGGUACCUUCACAAGAAGCCCCGGCUAACUACGUG